rnacentral:misc_RNA from 1 species
GCCGCCAAUUGUUUACAUACGAGACCAAACCAACAGCAUCUGAGCCUCCGAGACAAGACACCCAGUAACAGAGAGACAAAUAUCAAAUAUAAAUAACUAUAAUAAUGUGACAGUAUUCAGAGAGUACAAGCAACACCUGUAGGGUACAACAACCAUGCCUAGGAAAAGAGGGUCUGAUUUGUCACGGCUAUCAAAAGCUGCAAAGAAAAUAAAGCAAAAACGUAAAGCAGCGUUGAAGGAAAAAAGAGAAAAGCAGUUAAUAGACAUAUAUAAAAAAAUGCAAGAGCUGCAACGGGAAGAAAGUGUUGUACAGAGUAAACAUGAUGCAAUGGCUGGUGUAAAGAAAUACAUGAAGAUAGGAGCUACAUGCAGAUGUAGAGAAAUUGCAAAAUUAUUUAAAGAUCGAAGAAAAAAUGAGCAAGUAAGAUGUCUUCCUGUGAUAAAGAGAGAAGCACCUGAAAACCUUCUUAAACACAGCCAACCAAUACAUAAUGAAGCAGAAGAUGGAGGAUACUCAAAUGUUGAUGAAGACCCACUGGUAGAUAAAGACCAGCUUCUAAACAACUUGAUAUCUUUUGUUGAAGUAAAACCUGCUUUAUGAGUCAGUGGUUGGACACAAGAAGCAAAUCAGACGUACAGAGUCAACUGGAGAACGGAGGAGACGUCGUGGUCGGCAGCUAGAGAGACUGACUGAAGAACAGAGACAAGCCAAACAAAAGGAAGAUGCAAUAGCAAAAAGAAGUUACCGUAAGCGUAAGCUCCAAAAUAUGACUGAAGAGCAACAAAGAGCUCAUCAUGCUGCCGAAGCUGAAGCACAACGGUUGCGUCGUCAUCUCCGUAUGAAAAGAAUGACUGAAGAACAGCUUAAGGGACACCGUGCAGCACAGGCAGCGUCAAAAAGAAGGAAAUAUCAUUUACAGAAACAAACAAAAUCUGAAAAUGAACUACAAAUGCAUCAUACAGUUAAAGUUACUUUACAAAAAUAUCAUAAGCAAGCUAGUAUAAAAAAAAAUAUAAGCUCAUCCCGUAUAGUAGCAGCCAAGACAACAAAACAAUUCAGCUGUGCCAAAUGAAUGAUGGAAUUGAGGAAGAAAUAGGACAAUAUGUACCUGCAUCGGCUUCACCACAGGGAGAAUUACAGCAGUCUACAAAAGAAAAUACUGGACUAUCCAUGCUCAGCAACAUCCUGCAGCAGAAGACACCACACCUUAUAAUCUGAUGUUGCAGUUUAUGAUGCAAGCACAACAGUAUUCAGAAGCACUGAACCAUGUUGAAGGUGAAGACACAGUUAUAAAACAAGAGAUUAAAUAAUUCCAUUAAUUCUCAUCAAGAUGGAACAAAUAGUGAGGAACAUCAUAUGAAUGCUUAGUGUUGGGUCAGCCACAGGAGGAUAUAACUGAACAUGAGAACAAGGACACUGCCUCCUAACAUAACUGAACAUGAGAAUAAGGACACUGUCUCUUUGCAUACAGAACAGGAGAACAAGGACACUGUCUCCUAGCAUACAAAACAGGAGUACAAGGACACUGUCUCUUAACAUAACAGAACAUGAAAAUGACGUCACUAGUGUGUUUUAGCUCAUGUUACUGAUCAUCAACUAAACAAUUGGACAAAAUAUUCCAUUCCAGGUUGUCAUGAACCCUCAGACAUAUGAUUAGCUUCCACAUGAGAAGACAUUACUGUAUGUAUAUUCUCCACCAGUGGAUAUUUGACAGGCAAAAACUAAAACAGUAUGAGCCAAACAUUAGGUGUAGAAAGACCCUAAGAGUUAGUUGGCCAAGGAGACAGCUAAAGACCCUAUGAGUUACCGGGUAGUUGGCCAGGGAGACAGCUGUAUCCUUAGUAUUUGCGGUUUUGACAAGUGGGUCAUUAUCAAGUGACCUGUGAAGUCCAUAGCAAUAGAUAACCCCUUAAAUUUUUUUAAUGGCAGACUACAUUACCCAGAUGGACAGUGUCGGAUUGUGUUUUUGGUUGCAAGCGGCACAACUCGCCCACUUGAGUUAGACAUGCACAGUAUACAGUACAGUAUAUUAUAACACUGGACUUACAUUUUAUCCAGUUGUCAUCAGCAUGACCAAUGAGGAUUUAGGACAAAAGUGCAAAAUCUUGGAUAGUUUUUAUCAGUAUCCAAAAUGACUGUCUAACUUCAUAAUCAGAAUUUCAUAAAGGAGAAAUUUUAUAACCUAGACUUGACUAGAAUGACUCAUAAAUUUGCUCACCAAAGGCUUGGGGCUCAGGACCUAGGGACGCCAUAACCAAACAGCAGCUGAAGCAACCCUGACCCGAGAAGAAGCAGGAAAGAAACUAAACUCAUGUCAAAUCCAGCUUUAGCAGUUUUUGCCAAAUAGAACUUUGUUUCUUCGCCUUCAACUGUGUCCAGCUCCUAUUUAGAUUUUUCUUUAGUGGUAUGGAUUUCACAGAUCACUCAUUUUUCCCCUGUUAUAAAAAAUAUUAAAUUUUUUAGCAUAAAACUAUGACCGACUUAGUUUUCUCUCACUGAAAUGGUUACACACACACACACCUGAAUUAAUUAUGCCUCGGAGCAGCUUCAUUAUCCAGACUGAAAUUGGAUUUAAGUGUAAAGGGAACAUCAUAUUAAAGAGGUACUGUAUAAAUACCAUUUGGUGGAAGUACGGACCUGGUACAAGUCAUGAUUUGUCUGUGUCUUCAAUGUUUGACCCUGAUAAUGGAAGAUAGUGUGUAUUCUUUCCCAGCUACGAGAUAAUUGUGGGUAUUUAUUAUACUCGGGUACAGUACAAAAUAAUGGAGGAUACAGUAAUUGUUUUAAUUUUACUUAUCAUAUUUUCUGACCUCAUGUACGUGGAUGGUAAGGAAUGUUUGUUAAUAAGGCACUCAUAUGUGCACCAUCAGAAAUUUUGGUUCAGUUUGCAUUGAAUGUAUUCUGAAGGUUUCAUGUACUGUAUAGAGGAGUGUUUGGAACUUUGAUGUCUCCAUAGAUAGUCCGCCUGAAAGUAAAAUUAUGUAUUUAUGGACUAAUAAAACUAUUCUUCUAA